UCAUGUGCUAUAAGGCACAAGUUGGCUUGUUCAUUUGAAUCUUCUUCUUCGGAGCUUGACUCAUCACUUCCGCUCUAUGUAGCCAUCAUAGUCUUUUUUUUGUACUUCUUGGGAUCUUUCUUAAGUCAUGGACAUUCAGACUUAAAGUGUCCCGGCUUCUUACAUUCAUAACAAAUAAGGGAUUGCUCCUUAUCCUUCUCUUUGCUAUGUUCUCCUUUUGU
rnacentral:lncRNA from 1 species